rnacentral:rRNA from 1 species
UGUUCCUACGGGGCGCAGCAGUGGGGGAUAUUGCACAAUGGGGGGAACCCUGAUGCAGCGACGCCGCGUGGGUGAAGGAGCGUUUCGGCGCGUAAAGCCCUAUCGGCAGGGAAGAAGGAGGACGGUACCUGACUAAGAAGCCCCGGCUAACUACGUGCCAGCAGCCGCGGGAAUACGUAGGGGGGAAGCGUUAUCCGGAUUUACUGGGUGUAAAGGAGGCGCAGACGGCAGCGCAAGCCAGGAGUGAAAGGCCGGGGCCCAACCCC